CUUGCCUCCACCAGUAAUCUACAAGUGGAGUGGGCGGAGUGGCUGGAGUAACUGUGGAAAGGUUGGACUGGGCAGAGUAACUGUGUGGAGUGUUUGGAGUAAAGAUGGUAAACAUUACACUAACCAAUUGAUCAAAUUUAAAAAGUGCACAUGGCAAGCUUGAUAGUGUGAAAAAUGCAUUUCAACUUUUAUUUAUUUAGCACAUUUAAUUGCAAAGUUGUUGCCCAAAGUGCUUCAUAGUUACAUUAAAACAUACAUUUAUAAAAACAUUAGCAAAAUGCUUGCUUUGGAAAAGGCAAUCUAUAACUUUAUAUAUGUAAUCGCCCCUAGAGCAUUAUGCAAUUGAGGUGACAAGACAGGAAGAACCGCUGAGCGACUAAAUAGUUACACAGAGAGGCUUCCUAGGAUUUUAAUAUUUGAAUAGUUUUAAAUGUUUAUAACUACUUGAGAAAUAAUAAAGGCUUCAUAAAUACCAACAGUCUGUCUGCAGUCCGGAAUAUGCCCGUUGGAUCCACCAAACUCAAGAAGCUUAAUCCAGGGCUGUUAAUGAGAGAGUGGCACACAU